CGCGUGAGAAUCUGCCUUCGGGUCUGGGAUAACAGUUGGAAACGACUGCUAAUACCGGAUGUGCCNNNGGGUGAAAGAUUUAUNUGCCAGAAGAUGAGCUCGCGUCUGAUUAGCUAGUUGGUGGGGUAAAAGCCUACCAAGGCGACGAUCAGUAGCUGGUCUGAGAGGAUGAGCAGCCACACUGGGACUGAGACACGGCCCAGACUCCUACGGGAGGCAGCAGUGGGGAAUUUUCCGCAAUGGGCGAAAGCCUGACGGAGCAAGACCGCGUGAGGGAGGANAGGCCUUUGGGUUGUAAACCUCUUUUGUCAGGGAAGAAAAAAAUGACGGUACCUGACGAAUCAGCCUCGGCUAACUCCGUGCCAGCAGCCGCGGUAAUACGGAGGAGGCAAGCGUUAUCCGGAAUCAUUGGGCGUAAAGCGUCCGUAGGUGGCCAAGUAAGUCUGCUGUCAAAGACCACAGCUUAACUGUGGAAAGGCAGUGGAAACUGCGGGGCUAGAGUACGGUAGGGGUAGAGGGAAUUCCAGGUGUAGCGGUGAAAUGCGUAGAGCUCUGGAAGAACACCGGUGGCGAAAGCGCUCUACUGGGCCGUAACUGACACUGAGGGACGAAAGCUAGGGGAGCGAAAGGGA
rnacentral:rRNA from 1 species